ensembl:misc_RNA
CAAUGUUGGCUGCUUUGAAAAUCUCAUAGUUUUUGGACAGCAGUAUUAGUAAAGUGUAAGAAAAUUGUCAAAGCUUGGAGCUAUGCUUGUUGAACUUUUGUACCAAUAGCACCUUUACCAGAGGUUGCGUGUUUAAAGCCCGAAGAAAACUUUGCUUUUCUGAAAGAAUA